rnacentral:rRNA from 1 species
AGAGUUUGAUCCUGGCUCAGGAUGAACGCUAGCGGCAGGCCUAACACAUGCAAGUCGAGGGGCAGCGACGGUGUAGCAAUACACUGGUGGCGACCGGCGCGACGGGUGCGUAACGCGUAUGCAACCUACCCAUAACGAGGGGGAUAACACUGAGAAAUUGGUACUAAUACCCCAUAACAUCAGGACCGGCAUCGGUUCUGGUUGAAAACUCCGGUGGUUAUGGAUGGGCAUGCGUUGUAUUAGCUGGUUGGU